rnacentral:rRNA from 1 species
UACGUAGGGUGCAAGCGUUAAUCGGAAUUACUGGGCGUAAAGCGUGCGCAGGCGGCUCGGAAAGCAAGAUGUGAAAUCCCAGGGCUUAACCUGGGAAUUGCGAUGGUGACUGCAAGGCUAGAGUUUGGCAGAGGGGGGUAGAAUUCCACGUGUAGCAGUGAAAUGCGUAGAGAUGUGGAGGAACACCGAUGGCGAAGGCAGCCUCCUGGGCCAGCACUGACGCUCAUGCACGAAAGCGUGGGGAGCAAACAGG